rnacentral:rRNA from 1 species
UACGGAGGGUCCAAGCGUUAUCCGGAAUCAUUGGGUUUAAAGGGUCCGUAGGCGGUUUUGUAAGUCAGUGGUGAAAGCCCAUCGCUCAACGGUGGAACGGCCAUUGAAACUGCAAGACUUGAAUUAUUAGGAAGUAACUAGAAUAUGUAGUGUAGCGGUGAAAUGCUUAGAGAUUACAUGGAAUACCAAUUGCGAAGGCAGGUUACUACUAAUGGAUUGACGCUGAUGGACGAAAGCGUGGGUAGCGAACAGG